UACGUAGGUGGCAAGCGUUGUCCGGAUUUACUGGGCGUAAAGAGCGCGCAGGCGGUCGUACAAGUCGCGUGUGAAAGCCCCCGGCUCAACUGGGGAGGGUCACGCGAUACUGUUCGACUCGAAGGCAGGAGAGGGAAGCGGAAUUCCCGGUGUAGUGGUGAAAUGCGUAGAUAUCGGGAGGAACACCAGUGGCGAAGGCGGCUUCCUGGCCUGUUCUUGACGCUGAGGCGCGAAAGCGUGGGGAGCAAACAGG
rnacentral:rRNA from 1 species